rnacentral:tRNA from 1 species
GGCGCUGUAGUGUAGCGGUUAUCACUCAAGAUUCUGACCUUCUGAUUUCUUGUAACCCCGGUUCGAUUCCGGGCAGUGCCU